AACGCAGUGAUUUUUACUUGAGACGACUACUGUUUCCUUGAAUUCUUGAACUGGCUGCCUCCACUAGUUAUGAGGGGUGGUGUGAAUUCUUUAGCGCAGCACUAAUUUACUGCCAAGAAUUAUUGGAUUCUUUGCUCACUUGUGGCGCAAUGUGAGAAACUUCAAGAAUUCAAGCCAGUGUGAACAAUAUACAAAUGUUAGUUAAGUGUUGUAGAAGUGAUGAGUUUCUAAUUACCGCCCCAGUCUGAAGAUUCAUGACUGAUUGGUUUCCUCUGAUUAAACACAAAUAAAUGGUGGUUAUUUAACAUUAAUGCAAUUUGCGUCACUAACCUUUGACAUUGACUUGUUGCAGGGUUGUUUCUGACUGCAGUGUGAGGAACGGCUCGGACGUCGAGCACUGAUGCAGAGUCUGGCUGCGGUGCUUGUUGAUUUCAGAUUCCUGAUGCUGUGGGGUUCAUGGACUCCAUCAACAACAUCCAGCUGCCAUCUUGGACUGCAACACGACUGCUGCAUUUAAUUUGUUAAGACUUUGGAUUUCCAGAACCUGAUGUAUUCAAAUAAAGUUCAGUAAAUCUCAUCUUGUGUGGUCUAAUACUAGAGUACCCAAACACACAAAUUGACAGCAGCGAUAAAGUAGUUGUGGGUGACAGGUUAUAAGUACAACAUACAAUUCAAUGCAGCUAAAAAGGACAACAGUCUGCUUGGUAAUAUUAACCAUAGCACAGAAAUGUGUUUUUUGGUCAGAC
rnacentral:lncRNA from 1 species